CUUUGGUUGUGCCUCUGUUCCAAUUAGGUCCUGAAUCUGCUUGCUUUUUCACCAUCAACAUAUGUCUGGUGAAAUUUAUUUAAUACUUAUUCAGUCAUUGCACAAGUACGUAGAUUAUAAAUAAGCCUAACUACAUUGUGGGUAAGAGCUUCACACCUGAUCCUGAAAGCGCUGACUAUGCUAACAAAGCACAAUAUUUAGGUCUCUUGAUUCUUAAAGGCUGAAGAGCAUACCAUGAAAUCACAAGAGCUUAAAUCUGUGCAAGAGAUUUUAUUUUGAAUUUUAAGCAAAUAUAUGUUAUUUUCAGGGAAGAUUAACAGAGGUAAUAACAUGGGAUAAGAAAGAAGCAGAUUAAAGUGGAUUUUGUGCAAAGCCCUCCUGGAGAUUCAACAGGAUUAUCCAAUGCAUCAACGGAAGUGUCCGUGGAUCCCUCACCUAGGUGCAGUGGAACACUUGGAGCUGUUCUGAAUAACAGAAGCAAUGUGAAAUUGGGCCAGAAUCAGUUACCUGAGGACCGCAACAUGGCUAUCUACACUGUGAUGCAAUGUAUACACUGUUCUCUCCAAAAUUGUGUUAAAAAUUGCUUUUUUAAAAUUAAAAAAAGAGUCCAGAGCUUAAAUUCCUUAAAAAAAAAAAACCAACAAACCCAGCUCACUAUAAUGUCAUUAUGCUACUUCUGGGAAGUGUUGACAUAAUUGUCCUGAUAAAUAUGUAGUAGUCUUGCUAGUCAGCAAGAUUCAUUACUGUGCUUUUGAUGCUACAAUGAAUUUCCCUGUAAAACUGAGUUAGCUCAUCCUGUAAAUGAAUCCAGCAUAAAGUGGUGCCUCUGGGAGAAGUAUCCCAGAGCAAUGAUUAUCAAACAGAAUUGUGAAGAAUCCCGGGGUUCCUCUGAAUCUUGUCACACAAUGCUCAACAUUUCAUAGAUAAAAUUAGGGCCAAGCUUAUAUGCCCCUGCUUGUAUGAGUCACUUCCUCUGAGCGUCUCUGCUGCUACAGAAUUCAUCUUUGCUUCCUCUACUAUACCCAUUUAUUCAGCAGUGUAAAAAAUAAGAGGGUUAUGGAUCUUUUGAUUAAGUAUAUGCUAUAUGCCCUACCAAGUUUUUUAAACCAACACUUCAAUAUAUAUUUUGGCAGCUGCAGGGUUCAAAAUUGCUGGUUGUGAACUGUAUCGUGUCUUAGCAAUCAUGUACAUAUACUUACCUACGAGAUAAGAUGCAUCCACCUCCA